rnacentral:rRNA from 1 species
UGGGGGAUAUUGCACAAUGGGGGAAACCCUGAUGCAGCGACGCCGCGUGAGUGAAGAAGUAUUUCGGUACGUAAAGCUCUAUCAGCAGGGAAGAAUAAUGACGGUACCUGACUGAGAAGCCCCGGCUAACUACGUGCCAGCAGCCGCGGUAAUACGUAGGGGGCAAGCGUUAUCCGGAUUUACUGGGUGUAAAGGGAGCGCAGACGGCAGUGCAAGUCUGGAGUGAAAGCCCGGGGCCCAACCCCGGAACUGCUCUGGAAACUGUGCGGCUAAAGUACUGGAGGGGCAGGCGGAAUUCCUAGUGUAGCGGUGAAAUGCGUAGAUAUUAGGAGGAACACCAGUGGCGAAGGCGGCUUACUGGACUGUAACUGACGUUGAGGCUCGAAAGCGUGGGGAGCAAACAGG